CGUUUGCAGGAGGUUAUAUGGGGACACCACCCUUCAGUUUUGCUGGUUGGUGGAUGGUUUCCCGGGUUCACGCCGCCCCCACAGCCCUGCGCCUGCGCAUUGAGCGCCUGCAGCUCCCAUGGGCCCGGUAGGCGGCGCUGUCCCCAUUGUGCCGCAGAGGCAGAGCUGGGAGGCCCCGCCAGGCCCUGCGCCUCCCCGCACCCCACCAGGGUCCCGCCCGCUCCCAAAGUGGGUGGGACGGAGGGAGGGCAGCAGGGGCAGGAGAACUUGUUCUCCUACCGUGCUUGGGCUGUUUCCUAGGGGCUAAAUGAGAAGCCUCACUUGAACACUGUUGGGAAAGUUUGCAGCUCGUCCAGCAGAUGCCUUGGGGCCCUGAGUUCACACCUGCCUCAGUGUGAAGGUCAUUAGGACCUCCAUGGACUCCCAGUUGUCCACGCAGGGACCUCAGCUGAGAAGUCCUGAAUCAGCCUGCUUUCCCUGGGACCAAGGCCUGGACAUUCCCACCCCUGCCUGUGCCAUGGCCUUCAGAUGGAGGCUAUCUUUGAAGUGCCUGUGGCCAGCUGUGACUGGCCCUACCCACAGGCCACCAUGCCCGGCUGCCCAGAGGAAUGGAAUCACAGCCAGUGGCUGGGCGGCUGAGAGUGGCUGUGCCCAUGGCAACGGUCAUCUGAGAUGAGCUUCCUCCCCACCUGGCCUCAGGUUUCUGGCCCAGAGAGAAUUCCAGAAGAGCCUCAUUGAAAGUCCCUGGCAGGGCGGGGCCCCUGGUAUCUGGGACAAAAGCUGGCUAUUCUCAGGACCAGGGUGGACAGAGCCACUGAUUGUCUGCAGCCUCUUUCUGUCUAGUCUCUGUAGCUUCUUGGUAAAUGGGGGGAGAUGUGAUUUCAUGGGGAACCUGGGAGACUCCUCCCUGCUGUGUGGCCCUGGGGAGGUUCCUUCACCUCUCUGGGAGUGCUUCCUCUCAUGCAGCUGGACGGAGCUCAUGAAGGCAGAGUCCUACACAGUGCCUGUGGCACACAGCAAGCAGUGCAUAAAUGCAUACAUGUUAGCGCUGGUGCUUCCCCUGCCCUUUCCUCCCUAGUUUCCUGUGUUUUUCCUUCUUUUUGUCAUGAUUUGAGCCCAUCUGUGGCAUUCACUGGGGAAAGAGCAAAGAAGGC